rnacentral:rRNA from 1 species
AAGUGUUAGUUCAGGUGACGAAACUGCGAACAGCUCAUUAAUACGCUCAGAACCUAGUGGGUGAAGUCCGAUAGGACAGAAAGGGAUAGCCGCGGCAAUUCCGGGGCUAAUACCAACUCGUGAGAGGGAACCGCCGAAAGCGAGAGAAAGGCGGGUAGAAGACCGGGAGGCGAGCCCUGAGGUUGAGCGCCCUAUCAGCUAGUAGGUAGUGUCUGUGACUACGUAGGCGAUCACGGGUAACGGGCGGUUGCCGUCGGACUGCCGGAGAAGGCGCCUGAGAGACAGCGGCUAUACCCACGGGUAGCAGCAGGCGCGAAACUUACCCACUCGCCAAAGGCGGAGGUGGUAACGGCCCUUUCCAAUGUCUCGAAAGAGCUUGGGAAAGACUGACGCAAAGCAGGCGUCGGGAAAGCAAGGAGAGGGCCAGUUCUGGUGCCAGCAGCUGCGGUAAUUCCAGCUCUCCAAGUUUGCUCCCACUGCUACACUUAAAACGCCCGUAGUCGGAGUUCGUAGCACGCAAGUGCGCUCACGGUGAAUAAAUCAGGACGCUAAGAGUAAGUGCUCAACUGCAUGACUGAGCACCGUCUGAGGUUUUUACCCGUCAGGGUAAGGUCAAUGGGAGCCAGCGAGGUUAGGUCUAUUCAGUGGCGAGCGGCGGAAUGUGUUGACCCGCUGGAGAGAAGCAGAGGCGAAGGCGCCUAACAAGGGGGUGUCUGUCGAUCAAGGGCGAGAGUCGCAGUAUCCAACCGGAUUAGACACCCGGGUAGUUGCGACUGUAAACGAUGCCGACAGUGCGCAGUCUUCGGGCUGUGCAACAGGAGAAAUCUGUAGUCUUUGGGCUGUGGGGGAACUACGACCGCAAGGCUGAAACUUGAAGGAAUUGACGGAAGGGCACACCAGGGGUGGAUACUGUGGCUCAAUCUGACUCAACGCGGAGAAACUUACCAGGACCAGAUAUUUUUCAUGACUGACUAGCUGACUACUACUCAGGAUAUAAUUUUUGGUGGUGCAUGGCCGUUGGUGGUGCGUGAGUUGACUUGUCAAUUGUCGAUUCGGGUAACGAGCGAGACUACCGCCGUCUAGAGCGAGGCGAGCCUGAAAGGGCGCGCUGAGCACUAGCCGGGACUCCCUGCGUCGAAGCAGGCGGAAGAGGGUAGCAAUAACAGGUCCGUGAUGUCCUUUAGAUGCUCUGGGCCGCACGCGUUCCACACUGCUAGGAGGAAAGGGAAGCGAGGCCGAGAGGCGGAGCGACGCGAGGAGAUCCUAGCGUAGUUGGGAUUGACGUUUGACAUGAGCGUCAUGAACCAGGAAUCCCUUGUAAGCGUGUAUCAACAUUGCACGCUGAAUACGUCCCUGCCCUUUGUACACACCGCCCGUCGCUCCUACCGAUUGGGUGAGUCGGUGAACGCGCUGGAGUGUCACAACGAAGGCGUGUGAACCUGCUGAUUUA